rnacentral:rRNA from 1 species
UUCCUACGGGGCGCAGCAGUGAGGAAUAUUGGUCAAUGGGCGAGAGCCUGAACCAGCCAAGUCGCGUGAGGGAAGACGGUCCUAUGGAUUGUAAACCUCUUUUGCCGGGGAGCAAAAAGCGGUACGUGUACCGCAUCGAGAGUACCCGGAGAAAAAGCAUCGACUAACUCCGUGCCAGCAGCCGCGGUAAUACGGAGGAUGCGAGCGUUAUCCGGAUUUAUUGGGUUUAAAGGGUGCGUAGGCGGACUGUUAAGUCAGCGGUAAAAGCCCGGGGCUCAACCCCGGCGAGCCGUUGAACCUGGCUG